rnacentral:lncRNA from 1 species
UCAUGUCAAACCCCUAAUGUGAUUAUUCCUUCAUAUAUGAUUCAUUUGAGUCGUAUAAGAACGCUUUCCAAUCAAUACGCUCGAUACUUCGGCCAAAGAUUCCCGAAUCAUAUCUUAGAGUAUUCUUCCUCUCUUAUCGAGGAUUAGAGAUUCCUUGUUGCGCAUACACUUGCCUUCAUGACUAAGUGGCUUAACCCCAAUUAUGCCGUGGACACCCUCGAAUGGGGAGACAUUGACAUAAUCAAAGAUUAAGUACUUAACCACAAGACAACGACGAUGCCUCAUGUCUAAGGAUUACUUACAUCUUUCCAACCAUUAGAGUUACUUGCUUGA